GUUUGAUCCUGGCUCAGGAUUAACGCUGGCGGCGUGCCUAAUACAUGCAAGUCGAACGGAAGUUUGAGCAAUUAAACUUUAGUGGCGAACGGGUGAGUAACGCGUAAGCAAUCUGCCCCUAAGACGAGGAUAACAGUUGGAAACGACUGCUAAGACUGGAUAGGAGACAAGAAGGCAUCUUCUUGUUUUUAAAAGACCUAGCAAUAGGUAUGCUUAGGGAGGAGCUUGCGUCACAUUAGUUAGUUGGUGGGGUAAAGGCCUACCAAGACUAUGAUGUGUAGCCGGGCUGAGAGGUUGAACGGCCACAUUGGGACUGAGACACGGCCCAAACUCCUACGGGAGGCAGCAGUAGGGAAUUUUCGGCAAUGGAGGAAACUCUGACCGAGCAACGCCGCGUGAACGAUGAAGUAUUUCGGUACGUAAAGUUCUUUUAUUAGGGAAGAAUAAAUGAUGGAAAAAUCAUUGCUGACGGUACCUAAUGAAUAAGCCCCGGCUAACUAUGUGCCAGCAGCCGCGGUAAUACAUAGGGGGCAAGCGUUAUCCGGAAUUAUUGGGCGUAAAGGGUGCGUAGGCGGUUAAAUAAGUUUAUGGUCUAAGUGCAAUGCUCAACAUUGUGAUGCUAUAAAAACUGUUUAGCUAGAGUAAGAUAGAGGCAAGUGGAAUUCCAUGUGUAGUGGUAAAAUGCGUAAAUAUAUGGAGGAACACCAGUAGCGAAGGCGGCUUGCUGGGUCUUUACUGACGCUGAGGCACGAAAGCGUGGGGAGCAAACAGGAUUAGAUACCCUGGUAGUCCACGCCGUAAACGAUGAGUACUAAACGUUGGGUAAAACCAGUGUUGAAGUUAACACAUUAAGUACUCCGCCUGAGUAGUACGUACGCAAGUAUGAAACUUAAAGGAAUUGACGGGACUCCGCACAAGCGGUGGAUCAUGUUGUUUAAUUCGAAGGUACCCGAAAAACCUCACCAGGUCUUGACAUGCUUCUGCAAAGCUGUAGAAACACAGUGGAGGUUAUCAGUUGCACAGGUGGUGCAUGGUUGUCGUCAGCUCGUGUCGUGAGAUGUUGGGUUAAGUCCCGCAACGAGCGCAACCCUUAUUGUUAGUUACCAGCACGUAAUGGUGGGGACUUUAGCAAGACUGCCAGUGAUAAAUUGGAGGAAGGUGGGGACGACGUCAAAUCAUCAUGCCCCUUAUGACCUGGGCUACAAACGUGAUACAAUGGCUGUUACAAAGGGUAGCUGAAGCGCAAGUUUUUGGCGAAUCUCAAAAAAACAGUCUCAGUUCGGAUUGAAGUCUGCAACUCGACUUCAUGAAGUUGGAAUCGCUAGUAAUCGCGAAUCAGCAUGUCGCGGUGAAUACGUUCUCGGGGUU
rnacentral:rRNA from 1 species